UGCGCAGGUGGCCAAGUGUGUGAGGCGUGAAAGCCCGGAGCUCAACUCCGGAAUUGCACCUCAAACUACAUGGCUAGAGCAUUGGAGAGGGGAGCAGAAUUCACGGUGUAGCAGUGAAAUGCGUAGAUAUCGUGAGGAAUACCAGAGGCGAAGGCGGCUCCCUGGACAAUAGCUGACACUCAGGCACGAAAGCGUGGGGAGCAAAAGGGAUUAGAUACCCCUGUAGUCCACGCCCUAAACGGUGCACACUAGGUCUUGGAGGAUUCGACCCCUUCAGGGCCCAAGCUAACGCGUUAAGUGUGCCGCCUGGGGACUACGGCCGCAAGGCUAAAA
rnacentral:rRNA from 1 species